GGAGCAUGACACAUGAUUCGCCACAUUCGUUUCGCCGGUCUACUACUACUAAACGCAUCUUCAUUGCGCGGUGGACUGGUGGGCGACACGCAGAAUUAAGUCAUCUUCCGGUAGAAUAACGAACCCGCGCUAUUGCGCGGGUUUUUUU
rnacentral:sRNA from 1 species